CUAAUUUUAAAACUAAUGGGUGAGACUCCUUAGAAAUUCCUCAAUUAAGCUGAUAGGCGUUAUUUUCAAUACUCCCUGACAAUUUAAAACACCUCUUACAAUUAGCUUGAUCAAAUCUGAUAACAGCUGCUGAUAAGACAGAAGUAAAGAAUUACUAACACUCAGAAAAUUGCAUCACUUCACAUACAACACAGUAUGCACUCACGUUUUUUCUUGAUGAUCUGUGAGUGUAAACUCCUCCAGAUUCAUUUGGAGAAUAGAUAGGUGUAAUCAGUGAAUUACAGGUUAAAAAAGGGUGAAAAAGUUCACAUUCCAAGAUGCAAAAUUUUCAUGAUAGGAGAAAUGUAGAGGGAUAUUUUAGACUGCAUUUUGCAAUUUGGAGCUAAAACUUCUAACUUAGUUCAGAAACAACAUAUGUACCAUUAAUAGAGACAUCAUUAGUGUAGUGCCACUAAAGACAAAUGCGUUUUAUGGAUAAGCCAUAGAUUAUAGUUCCGAGUUGAAGAAUGCAGAGUACUUGAUUUUCUUUGUUCGACAAUAUUACUGUUGUGUUGUUGAUGUAGUUCCUCAUUUUUCUACUGUCUUCUAGUGUCUAUUUUCUUUUGAAUCCCCAUAACUUGGGAUAUUUUCUGGUAUUAUUUGCCACAGGAUGCAAAAAUGCUGGAUCGCCAGAAACUGUCAGCAUUUCGGAGACUUUUUCAUUGAUUUCGUAUAAGUCACAGGAGGCAGUGACUACGGAGCCGAGAGCUGUGCAAGAGGAAAGGGAGGGCUUCAUGAUUUUUUCUUUCUUGGAAAAGGAAAAAAAGUAAAAUUUUAUUUUCGGAGAAUGAAGAAAAAAUCUAUUUGGGGAAAUUUUAAUAAUGACAUCGAUUUUUUGACAAGAAGUCUCGAAUUCUGGAAUUUUCUCAUUCCCAAACUUAUAAACAACUUAAUGAGAUUGGUUUUUUUUUGUACUUGAUUUUCAAAAGAGAAAGUUUUUUUUCUCCGAUGUUGGAUUUAAAUUUUGAGUAAUUGGUGAGACUUUUGGUAGUCCAUUUUUGGAUGGAAUCAGAUCCAUUUCUUAUGUUUGCGGUAAGUUUGCUCACCUGAGAAAGUACAUUUAUGCUAAAAUAUUUUUAAAAAAAUGUAGCUUUUAUGAAAAGAAAAACAGACAAAAUUGCAAAACUUACUCGAAAAAUAAAUUCUUCAUGCCAACUGGGAUUUAAAGUCUGAAAGGAGAAAGAAAAAAAUUAUCAGCACAGAGUAAUUUAUUCCUGAUGCACAAGAGAGAAAUCUGCGAUCUCUUUACGAGCAUUUUUAGGCAUGUAAAAUUUCAUUCACUGGUCUAUUUGCUGGUAAGUUCCUACCCUGAAUGGACUCAGAUCAACAGAAAUGCAUCAAAAUGAAUAGAGUUAAAACUGAGUAAAUAAGGUUUAAAGUUUCAUUCCUUCAUAAGACUGAAUAUUAAGGACAAAGUUUAAUUACUAUUUCCUCGUUUAAAACAUUUUUUCUUGACUUUUAAUUACUACCACUACUACAACUUUAAAUUACUUUCAUCUCAUUUUUUCAAAGAAAUAAACUUGGUGCGUUUCCAUUUGACUCAAUUGGACGUAUUUCUGCCAAACAGAACUAUGUGCAGUAAGGCAAUGAAACCCAUAAGAAUAUGUGCAUAACAGGGCUCACGUCAUAAUGCACAUAGUUUUGCUUGGCAGAAAUACGUCCAAUUCAAAUUACCACAUUCAAAAAUAUCAGGGAAGAUUUUUUUUCAAUGCUUCAGUCCAUCUAUUAGCAUUGAAUGUAAUAAAAAAUCACUCGCACCAUAGGUUAUUUUGCUGUGAUCAAUUUUGUAAACAAAAUGUUCGAUUCUCUCUUUGCCUUUAAUGUAUCUACAAAAAUUAAUUUUACAAUUUCA